AGAGCAGAGUGCGCGUUGAAACCACAAGCAGACACCUCUGGAUGCCCAGGUCAACUUCAGCCACUGAGUCAGAAUUGAAGGAAACCCAGACUCGGGUCCCAGGAGGCAGUCCCUAUGCUGCAAAGUCUUCAAACACAGCACCGAGUUUUGUAAGGAAUACAUUCCCAGUGGGUGCAACUCCAUGGAGCUCCAGCCUUUCCUGGUCUAACCUGGUUAAUCCUCCAACCCACAGCCCGAAGGGUGGAUUCCAUUGCCUCCCCGAGCCAUGAAGUCCCAGGCCCACACACUGUGGAGGAGACACCAUCUGCCCCAACCCUCAGCCCAGGCCUGGCAGACAACAUCAACCCUAACAGGGAGAGCAGCACUGUCCCCAUCCCCCUCCCCAGAAGGACACCAGGGCUGGGAGGAGAAUCUUCAGGCGCCCAAGACCUCUUCUGCCGCCGUGGCUCUGCCUGCCGGCUGUGGCCUCCUCCUUGCCAGCUCUGCUUAAACAGAUGAACAAGAAUAAAAGCUGUGUGACCCAAGGAAAGCUUUAGGGAAAAGAACUGAAGCUGAAAGGGAAAAAAAAA
rnacentral:lncRNA from 1 species